rnacentral:lncRNA from 1 species
AAUCCCGUGAUUGAAUCAAGUUACAAGAUAAUAAAACAAAGUUGAAAACAAAUCAAAGCUUCUUAAACAAGCAAAUAUAACAAUAUAAACAAAUAGAGUAAAGUGAAGUCCUCAAACGAGUUGUGAAGAUGAAGGAGCUCGACUUCUUCUUUACUUGACCCUCUUCUGAUUUGGCACGAAGUAGAGGAUCACUGAGGCAGCACACUGAUGGAGAGGAAGCUUUGGGAUUCACUUGGAAGCUCUUCUUCUCUCUAUUUCUCUUUGGAUGGCCCUUUUUGUGCUUAUGGGAGAUUUUCCUUGUAAUCUCUUUCCUAAAUGUUUUCUCCCACUUCCAUGCUGUCUCCCCUAGCUCUCCUCUUGUUUUUAUAGCUUUAGAUGGCGUGGAGACAAGAAUAUAGCCGUUAGAGACAAAAAUAGAGCCGUUGGAACCAGUCUGCACCUCCUGACAAUAUGACCGUUGGGAUCGGAGUCGACUCGCGCGAUCAGGAGUGACUCGCCUGUUGCAGGAGUCGGCUCGUGCUUUACUGGAGACGACUCGGCCACUGUUCCAAAUUUGAAUUAAAGUGCAUCCCUCGACUGGGAGUCGACUCGACUUAACCCGAAGUCGACUCGCC